rnacentral:rRNA from 1 species
UACGUAGGGUGCGAGCGUUGUCCGGAAUUAUUGGGCGUAAAGAGCUCGUAGGCGGUUUGUCGCGUCGGCCGUGAAAACUUGGGGCUUAACCCCAAGCCUGCGGUCGAUACGGGCAGACUUGAGUUCGGCAGGGGAGACUGGAAUUCCUGGUGUAGCGGUGAAAUGCGCAGAUAUCAGGAGGAACACCAAUGGCGAAGGCAGCUCGCUGGGACGGUACUGACGCUGAGGCGCGAAAGCGUGGGGAGCAAACAGG